CUGUAUGGAUUUAUAUCUUGCUUCCUGAUAAUACUAUGUACUUAGUGCGGUUUGAAGUCUUCGUUUCGUUUUUUCUUGGUAAUUUCGUAGCCUAUUAAUGCUAUAGUAAUUUUCUUCGGGUAUACGUUGUAUAAACAAUUUCAACCCAGAACUAAUUAAUUGUUAUUAUAUUUGUAUUAUUAAUGUUUGAUAAUAACUAACAUUGUAUAACACUUGUUAUUAUUUGGAGUCUUCCUGUCUUAACUGUCACAGUACUCACAAUAUUUUACAUUUCUUAUUGAAAUUUCUUGAUAUCUAACAAAAUGAGUGUAUCGGGUGAAAAUACUACUGAAGAACUAGAACAGUUCAGAAAAUUAUUCAUAGGCGGACUUAAUUAUACAACUACAAAUGAUUCGUUAAAAGAAUUUUUUGAAAAAUGGGGUGAAAUUGUUGAUGUAGUUGUUAUGAAAGAUCCGGUGACUAAAAGAUCACGAGGUUUUGGUUUUAUUACAUACUCAAAAUCAUCCAUGGUUGAUGAUGCUAUGGCAAAUAGACCACAUAAAAUUGAUGGCCGUGAAGUAGAAACAAAACGUGCUGUGCCCCGUGAUGAUAUAGAUAAACCUGAUAUAGCAUGGACUGUAAAAAAAAUGUUUGUUUCUGGAAUUAAAGAACAAACAGAGGAAGAACUACGAGAAUAUUUUGGUCAGUAUGGUAAUAUACUUAACUUACAAAUUGUAACCGACAAAGAAACUGGACAGCGUAAAGGUUUUGGAUUCAUUGAAUUUGAUGAUUCAGAUGCAGUUGAUAAAGCUGUGUUGAUUAAAAGCCAUGAAGUUUGUGGUAAUAAAUUAGAAGUUAAGAAAGCUGUGAGUAAAGAUGUAGCUUCAGCAGCUAGAGGUCAUAGAGGUGGUCGUGGUAUUGGUAGUGGAAGAGGACAAGCUUGGAGAGGCCAUAACAAUAACUGGGGAGGUAAUAGUUUUGGGGGUUAUGGUGGCGGAAGCAGUGGUGGUUGGGCUCAAGGUGGCCCUCAAGGUUGGAAUAAUGUUUGGGGUAGUCAAUCUAACCAACGAGGUUGGGGUAAUGGAGGAGGAAAUUGGGGAGGAAGUCAAAGUGGAUAUGGUGGAGGACCAAUGCGAGGAAAUUUUGGUAACAACAGGGCUGUGCCAUAUCACACAGGAGGUGGGGGUAAUUUUCAUCAAAACUCAAGAGGACGGUAUUAAAAAUCUGUUUAGACUCGAUCUUCAAAAAGUACAAUGAAUUAUUGUUUUUAAUGAUUGGUGAAAUUAUUAAAGUGGUCAUGGAAUAAUUGAUUGAUGAAUUGAAAAAUUAUUGAAACUUCAUAAUUUGAAUUAAUGAUGUUUUGAAUAUAUAAAGAAAAGACUUAGUUACGAAUUGAACCUUACUCACUAUCCAGAUGCAUGUAAUAACAAGUUGUUAGCAAAGAGAAAAUUUAUGUUAUUUGUUUUGUUUAUUUUACUGCUUUAAAUAAUUGAAGAGAAUGCAUAAAGUCAAUAUGUCGUCACAUUCAAUCUCCAUCUUUGCAACAGCGAUAUAUGAACGAUUCUGAAUUUGCACUAAAAAUUCGUCAAAUAACAGCUCUUGCGUUUAUUCCAGAGGAGGUUAUGAAAAAAGCGUUUCAAACUUUGAUUGAAUGUGAAUUUUACUAAAAUAAUGAAACAGAACUUUUUCCUCUUCUCAGUAAUCUUGAGGAUACUUGGCUGGAACGUCUAGAUAGACGUGGACGUCGGCGCAGUCCUCUAUUUCCUCUGUCUAUGUGGAAUUGUUUCACUUAUGUGGUAAAUCUACCUCAAACAAAUAAUGGCGUUGAAGAAUGACACAAUAUUUUAUUCUCACCUGCAAGCUACACAUCCUUCUAUUUGGAAAGUAAUUAACACAUUUAAACAAUACGAAAAUCUAACGAGGGUAAAGAUAGAAAGUUUUAUUCAGAGGAAGGAAAAUGCAUCUCUGAAGAAAUUUUAUCAAAUAUUAAAUUCAAGAAUAUAGUCUACUUGUUCUAAAUUCCAAAACACCAACACUCAACUACUUACGUGGCAUUGCUCACAAUUUGCAAUUCAAUGUAUAAAAUUUAAUUGAAUGAAAGAAGUAAAAUAAAUUA